rnacentral:tRNA from 1 species
GCGAACGUAGUUCAGUGGUAGAACAUCACCUUGCCAUGGUGNGGGUUCGAGCCCCGCCGUUCGCU